rnacentral:misc_RNA from 1 species
AAAGUCGUAACAAGGUUUCCGUAGGUGAACCUGCGGAGGGAUCAUUAUCGUAGGGCUUCGGCCCUGUCGAGAUAGAACCCUUGCCUUUUUGAGUACCUUUUCGUUUCCUCGGCAGGCUCGCCUGCCAAUGGGGACCCCAAAAAAACACUUUGCAGUACCUGUAACAGUCUGAAAAACAAACAAAUAAUUAAAACUUUCAACAACGGAUCUCUUGGUUCUG